rnacentral:rRNA from 1 species
CCUACGGGAGGCAGCAGUGAGGAAUAUUGGUCAAUGGACGAGAGUCUGAACCAGCCAAGUAGCGUGAAGGAUGACUGCCCUAUGGGUUGUAAACUUCUUUUAUAAAGGAAUAAAACGAGGCACGUGUGCCUUUUUGCAUGUACUUUAUGAAUAAGGAUCGGCUAACUCCGUGCCAGCAGCCGCGGUAAUACGGAGGAUCCGAGCGUUAUCCGGAUUUAUUGGGUUUAAAGGGAGCGUAGAUGGGUUGUUAAGUCAGUUGUGAAAGUUUGCGGCUCAACCGUAAAAUUGCAAUUGAUACUGGAAGUCUUGAGUACAGUUGAGGUAAGCGGAAUGCGUGGUGUAGCGGUGAAAUGCUUAGAUAUCACGAAGAACCCCGAUUGCGAAGGCAGCUUACUAAACUGUGACUGACAUUGAUGCACGAAAGUGUGGGUAUCAAACAGGAUUAGAUACCCCUGUAGUC